GGUGUCUCCGUAACACUGCUGAAUAUUCUAUCAAUGUGUAUGGUUUUAUAUUCUUUCACAGCUAUCAGUGAUGCUGCCCAUAGAGUACCUGCGAAUGUAACAUAGGCAGAUGUUCGCAUGAAAAAACCCUGCUAAUUAUUGCAGAAUUCAUAGAAAUUGUCAUUAGAAAAUCAUUAAUAUGUUGGAAAAUGGGACUUACCUAAUGUCCUUUUUUACCUGCCGCGAUCAUUAAAAAGAGCUUAGACACCCAUCAGCAACAUCAGUUUUCCUUGCGAAGUCAAAGAGUUCUCAUCAUAUUUGAAAAAAAAAAUGAAAGUGGUAAGUUCGAACGCUGAAACCCCGAAAUAAUUCUCUUCGAAAUAAAAAUAUUUCAAUAUUUGCAGCUAUUUUCCCUAAUUUACUUGGCCACGAUUUCCCACUGCAAAGGUGGUCUGAUACUCAAUAAUGUUCAGGGUAUUUUUGGCACGGCUCCCCAUUCAUCCAAUUCACCAAUCAUUUAUGUGAAUAAAUAUCAAAAUCCUCCACGAACUCCUCAAAUCUAUGGAGAAUUUCAAUUGACGACCAGCAGUAAUCGGGAACAUAGUCGUGGUGAUCAUGGUACGCUCUAUGAUUACGAAAGGCAACAGCAACAACAACACAAUUAUGUCAAUACCAACAUCAAGGGUGGUGGCCUAAAAUAUGGUUAUGCUAGUCCGAAUUCAGUGAAGAAAGAGACCUAUCAUCAUCGCCAUGCUGUACCAUCUACAUUGGAGGGAGUCUCAACUUUGGCUAGACGUGGAGAUGAAGGAGUUUAUUUUAGCGAUGGGGUCAAACCCUAGAUUUAGAGAGUUAAGGACUGAAAUUUGUGUAACAAAUUGUAAUUGAAAAUUUGAAUAAAAAGGACCUAUUUUAAAUGUGAAAUGGUGUAAUAAAAGGCUCUGAUGGUCUUUGAAAAAAAAA